AGAGUUUGAUCCUGGCUCAGAGCGAACGCUGGCGGCAGGCCUAACACAUGCAAGUCGAACGAACUCUUCGGAGUUAGUGGCGGACGGGUGAGUAACACGUGGGAACGUGCCUUUAGGUUCGGAAUAACUCAGGGAAACUUGUGCUAAUACCGAAUGUGCCCUUCGGGGGAAAGAUUUAUCGCCUUUAGAGCGGCCCGCGUCUGAUUAGCUUGUUGGUGGGGUAAUGGCCCACCAAGGCGACGAUCAGUAGCUGGUCUGAGAGGAUGACCAGCCACAUUGGGACUGAGACACGGCCCAAACUCCUACGGGAGGCAGCAGUGGGGAAUCUUGCGCAAUGGGCGUAAGCCUGACGCAGCCAUGCCGCGUGGAUGAUGAAGGUCUUAGGAUUGUAAAAUCCUUUCACCGGUGAAGAUAAUGACUGUAGCCGGAGAAGAAGCCCCGGCUAACUUCGUGCCAGCAGCCGCGGUAA
rnacentral:rRNA from 1 species